CACGUAGGGGGCAAGCGUUGUCCGGAUUUAUUGGGCGUAAAGAGCGUGUAGGCGGUCAGGUAGGUCGGUUGUGAAAACUGGAGGCUCAACCUUCAGAGGUCGACCGAAACCCCCUGGCUAGAGUCCGGGAGAGGAGAGUGGAAUUCCUGGUGUAGCGGUGAAAUGCGCAGAUAUCAGGAAGAACACCCGUGGCGAAAGCGGCUCUCUGGAACGGUACUGACGCUGAGACGCGAAAGCGUGGGGAGCGAACAGG
rnacentral:rRNA from 1 species